rnacentral:misc_RNA from 1 species
CGCCGUCACACCAUGGGAGUUGGCCACGCCCGAAGUCGUUACUCUAACCUUUCGAGGAGGAGGGCGCCGAAGGCAGGGCUGAUGACUGGGGUGAAGUCGUAACAAGGUAGCCGUACCGGAAGGUGUGGCUGGAUCACCUCCUUUUAGGGAGACCUACCCUUAGUGCUACCGAGGCAAUUAUUGCUAGGUGCACGAGAGGUCAACCAAGGUCGUUCGAGAAUGCGAAACAAAGCUUCCAAACUUGUCUAGGUUUUUUAUGAGCUAAGGACGAGAAAGAUUCAGCACCUUAUCUAGAGAGAUACUAGAGAGCCUGCUGGAUGAAGAGUCCGGCAAAGAACCUUGAAAAUUGCAUAGUGAAGAAAGAAAUUCUGUCAGGUAGUUAACUCAGGGAACUGAGAGACAAACCUAAAGAGCCACCAAAAGUUGAUGAAGGUCAAGCUAAGAAGGGCUCACGGUGGAUACCUA